UACAGGGAAUAACUAUUUAAAACUUAAAAAUUAAAAUUAUUUUAAUUUGUGAAGAAACAAUUAUUAAAAUUAAGGACAAGAAGACCCUAAGAAUUUUAAAAUAAUUAAUUUCUUAUAAGAAAUUAAUUAUUUUUAGUUGGGGCAACUAGAAAAUAUUAUAAACUUUUUAUAUAAUAAAAUGAUCCAUUAUUAAUGAUCAUUUGAGAAAAAUACUCUAGGGAUAACAGCGUAAUAAUUUUUGAUAGAACCUAUAGACAAAAUAGUUUGCGACCUCGAUGUUGGAUUAGGAUACUUUUUUAAUGAAGAUGUUAAAAAAAGAAGUUUGUUCAACUUUUAAAGUCCUACUUGAUCU
rnacentral:rRNA from 1 species